GGCCAAUUGGUGAAGCGACUCAACACACCGCCCUUUCACGGCGGCAUACACGGGUUUGAAUCCCGUAUUGGUCACCA
rnacentral:tRNA from 1 species